rnacentral:misc_RNA from 1 species
AGAGAGAGAGAGAGAGAAGGGGAAAGGAGGGGGGUGGGUGGUGUGGGGGUUGUUGUCUCCAUUCUGAUACUCUAGUUUGACAACCUCCUGUAUUUAUUUCCAAAGGACUACCCAGGCCCAAAAAGAAAUUAUUUGCUAAGCCACCUAGGUGACAGACUUAAAAACCGACAACAUCUCACCAUACUGUUAUACACUUGAAAUGAAGAUAAUGUACAAUCUUCAGUCUUUUGCGUAACAAAGUGGAAAAAAAGGCAUUACAAGUCGUCUUUUAUACAAGUAAAAGAAUUCCUCUGAAACCCCUAAGGAGGCGCAAUUCGAAAACAGGAAUCAUAAAAAUCAUACUAGGCAUCAAAAGGAACCUACAGCCAGUCAAUAUCCAAAAAGUUCAAAAACCAAGAAAUUCUUGAAGGAAGAAGAUUUGAGUCAAAUUGCAAACGACCAAAAGUGUACUGUCAAAAAUUUUUAAGAGGGUACAACCUGGUGCAAAAACAGAUAAUUUUGUACCUGUGAUCUAAGAUGCGCUUUUCA